CUGGUAGUGCUGCAUCACACCUUCAACCCAGACUACACCGUACCUGACAGCAGCAGACUAGUGACCAGAGGUGAUGUAAUACUCACAGUGGACUGUCUCUUCCAUGAGAGCCAGGGACUACUGGAGUGUCCUCAAAAUGAAGAAGUUGUUAAAGAGAUUCUGAAGAAGCUUAAUAUACAUCCUGAGAUUGCAGUUUCUUCCUUUGACCCUCAUAUGAUCAUCGGGUGGUUCACAACUGAGGUUUUCCAAUUGUUUAAGUCAGAUCUAAAUUCAUGUUGGCCAGAAUCGCUGAGUCUUACCUCAACCACUGCAACAGAUGAAGUGCCUGUGUGUGAUCAUGAAGUGCAAAAUGAGGAUGAAGCACAUUGCUCCCCAGCCUUUAAGUUGUAAUAAUGAGUGAAUAAGUGGAUUGAAGUCUGAUUU